rnacentral:rRNA from 1 species
UACGGAGGGAGCGAGCGUUGUCCGAAGUUACUGGGCGUAAAGCGCGCGUAGGCGGGGGAAUUAAGUGAGAAGUGAAAAGGCUGGGGGCUCAACCUCAUGCAGUGCUUCUCAUACUGGUUCUCUUGAGGGCGGUAGGGAGAAGUGGAAUGGCUGGUGUAGCGGUGAAAUGCGUAGAUAUCAGUCGGAACACCGGUGGCGAAGGCGGCUUUCUUUGGGCCCGUUUCUGACGCUGAGGCGCG